AGAGUUUGAUCCUGGCUCAGGAUGAACGCUAGCGACAGGCCUAACACAUGCAAGUCGAGGGGCAGCGGAGAGGUAGCAAUACCUUUGUCGGCGACCGGCGCACGGGUGAGUAACACGUAUGCAAUCCACCUGUAACAGGGGGAUAACCCGGAGAAAUCCGGACUAAUACCCCAUAAUAUGGGCUCUCCGCAUGGAGAGCCCAUUAAAGAGAGCAAUUUUGGUUACAGACGAGCAUGCGCUCCAUUAGCCAGUUGGCGGGGUAACGGCCCACCAAAGCGACGAUGGAUAGGGGUUCUGAGAGGAAGGUCCCCCACAUUGGAACUGAGACACGGUCCAAACUCCUACGGGAGGCAGCAGUGAGGAAUAUUGGUCAAUGGUCGGCAGACUGAACCAGCCAAGUCGCGUGAGGGAAGACGGCCCUACGGGUUGUAAACCUCUUUUGUCGGAGAGUAAAGUACGCUACGUGUAGCGUAUUGCAAGUAUCCGAAGAAAAAGCAUCGGCUAACUCCGUGCCAGCAGCCGCGGUAAUACGGAGGAUGCAAGCGUUAUCCGGAUUUAUUGGGUUUAAAGGGUGCGUAGGCGGCACGCCAAGUCAGCGGUGAAAUUUCCGGGCUCAACCCGGAGUGUGCCGUUGAAACUGGCGAGCUAGAGUACACAAGAGGCAGGCGGAAUGCGUGGUGUAGCGGUGAAAUGCAUAGAUAUCACGCAGAACCCCGAUUGCGAAGGCAGCCUGCUAGGGUGAAACAGACGCUGAGGCACGAAAGCGUGGGUAUCGAACAGGAUUAGAUACCCUGGUAGUCCACGCAGUAAACGAUGAAUACUAACUGUUUGCGAUACAAUGUAAGCGGUACAGCGAAAGCGUUAAGUAUUCCACCUGGGGAGUACGCCGGCAACGGUGAAACUCAA
rnacentral:rRNA from 1 species